AUUGAACGCUGGCGGCAUGCUUUACACAUGCAAGUCGAACGGCAGCGCGGGCUUCGGCCUGGCGGCGAGUGGCGAACGGGUGAGUAAUGCAUCGGAACGUGCCCAGUAGUGGGGGAUAGCCCUGCGAAAGCCGGAUUAAUACCGCAUACGACCUGAGGGUGAAAGCGGGGGACCGAAAGGCCUCGCGCUAUUGGAGCGGCCGAUGUCGGAUUAGCUAGUUGGUGGGGUAAAGGCUUACCAAGGCGACGAUCCGUAGCUGGUCUGAGAGGACGACCAGCCACACUGGGACUGAGACACGGCCCAGACUCCUACGGGAGGCAGCAGUGGGGAAUUUUGGACAAUGGGGGCAACCCUGAUCCAGCCAUGCCGCGUGCGGGAAGAAGGCCUUCGGGUUGUAAACCGCUUUUGUUCGGGAAGAAAUCCUCUGGGCUAAUACCCCGGGGGGAUGACGGUACCGGAAGAAUAAGCACCGGCUAACUACGUG
rnacentral:rRNA from 1 species